GGUUUUUAGCAAUCUAAUGCCAUUGCUCUAAAUUCUGCUUCUGCACUACUUCGAGACACCACCACCUGUUUUUUGCUUCUCCAAGUAACCAGAUUUCCCCAAACAAAUGAACAAUAACCAGUUGUAGAUCUUCUAUCCGUUAAUUCACCUGCCCAGCUUGAAUCCGAAAAAAUUCUUACUAUUCUAUCAUCACUCUUUCUAAAAAUUAAUCCAUGUCCUGGUGU